GUGGGGAAUAUUGGGCAAUGGGGGAAACCCUGACCCAGCAACGCCGCGUGAGGGAAGAAGGUCUUCGGAUUGUAAACCUCUUUUACCAGGGAAGAAGAAAGUGACGGUACCUGGAGAAAAAGCCACGGCUAACUACGUGCCAGCAGCCGCGGUAAUACGUAGGUGGCAAGCGUUGUCCGGAUUUACUGGGUGUAAAGGGCGUGUAGGCGGGAAGACAGGUCAGAUGUGAAAUGCCGGGGCUCAACUCCGGAGCUGCAUUUGAAACCGUUUUUCUUGAGUAUCGGAGAGGCAGGCGGAAUUCCUAGUGUAGCGGUGAAAUGCGUAGAUAUUAGGAGGAACACCAGUGGCGAAGGCGGCCUGCUGGACGACAACUGACGCUGAGGCGCGAAAGCGUGGGGAGCAAACAGGA
rnacentral:rRNA from 1 species